rnacentral:rRNA from 1 species
UCAGCCGCCGCGGUAAUACCAGCAGCCCAAGUGGUGGUCGCGUUUAUUGGGCCUAAAGCGCUCGUAGCCUGACCGGUAGGUUCCCCGUGAAAUCGGGUCGCCCAACGGUUCGGCUUGCGGGGAAUACUGUCGGUCUUGGGGCCGGGAGACGCCGAGGGUACUCCGGGGGUAGCGGUGAAAUGCUGUAAUCCUCGGGGGACUACCAGUGGCGAAGGCGCUCGGCGAUAACGGGCCUGACGGUGAGGGGCGAAAGCUGGGGGCGCGAACGGGAUUAGAUACCCCGGUAGUCCCAGCCGUAAAGGAUGCGGGCAAGGUGCUCGUCGCUCUUCGAGGGCGUCGGGUGCCGUAGAGAAGUCGUUAAGCCCGCCGCCUGGGAAGUACGGUCGCAAGGCUGAAACUUAAAGGAAUUGGCGGGGGAGCACA